AUAACUACUCCAUGAAUCAGCCUGAGCAAGGAGGAGAUACCAAACACAGCAACCCAGCAAGAGGCAGUAUGGUCAAGUAGGACAUGUCCAGGCUCAGAAACAGAGGGCAUUUAUUCAGGAUCCACCACUUACACAAUCCAGGACAAGUUUUUACAUGUCUCCCUCACCUGAGAAACAAAGAGAAACCACACCUGCCCACCAACACGACUGAGAAGACUAAGAGAGCUAAUGUACAUUCUCAUAGGUCUGUUAUGAGAACAACAAGGAAAGAAACCUGGGUGGGAAUGGUAUAUGUUCCAAACAUGGCAGUGACGCAUCUCCCAGCAGUAUGACCUUCUAACAUGCCCUUGCUACCUCAGGAGACUGACCGCCCUGACCUUGAGUCUGGGUGAGGGAAUAUGACUGGGUAAUACCUGAGGUUAGGUCGUACUUGCCCUGUAACUUCCACCUCUUCCUUGGAGCACUCACACCUGGAGUCCCGCACGGCCAUGGAAAAAGCCCUUCUACCCUGAAGAAGUUGAACUAUGAAGAAGCCAGGCCACAUGGAGAGGCCGUGUGGCUAGGGCUCCACUCAGCAGUCAGUCUUCAAGUCAUCCCAGCCCAGGUGUCAGACAUGUGCGCCAAACCACUCGUAGAUGACUCCAGCCCCCAGCCUCAAAUCACUCCCAGCCUUUGAGUCUCUGCAGCCCGAGCUCCAGGACUGUGGAACAGGAUCAAGCCAAUCCACUGAGUCCUCUCUGAACUCUUGAUCUACAGAAUUCAGGGGCAUAUAAAAUGUUUGCUUCAAGGCCCUAAGUUUUGAGGUAACACAGGGAGAGAUCAUGGGAACACUCGGAUGCCUGGGAAUGGGAAGACUAAAUGAGAACCAGAGCCCUGCUCCGAUGAUUCUAGAGUUAGCGCUGUUCCUCUUUUACCAUCCUUCUGCUGUGACUUCGCAUAAAGUACACCAUCCCGGUGCUACAGACACCCACUUACUAGAUCAGCAGGCAAGGCAGGAACUGGGAUGUAUGUGGCCAACAACUCAUUAGAUGCCUAGAGGACAACCAGCACAGUUUCCACUGCCCUCGAAACUAGUCAAGUCUCAGAAAGGACCUGCCAAGGAAAAACCUACAUUCACCUGAA
rnacentral:lncRNA from 1 species